rnacentral:rRNA from 1 species
UACGUAGGGGGCCAGCGUUGUCCGGAUUUACUGGGCGUAAAGAGCGCGCAGGCGGUCGUUCAAGUCGGGUGUGAAAGCCCCUGGCUCAACUGGGGAGGGUCAUUCGAUACUGAUCGACUGGAAGGCAGGAGAGGGAAGCGGAAUUCCCGGUGUAGUGGUGAAAUGCGUAGAUAUCGGGAGGAACACCAGUGGCGAAGGCGGCUUCCUGGCCUGUUCUUGACGCUGAGGCGCGAAAGCUAGGGGAGCAAACGGG